GAGUUUGAUUAUGGCUCAGGAUGAACGCUAGCGGCAGGCCUAACACAUGCAAGUCGAACGGUAACAGGGAAAAGCUUGCUUUUCCGCUGACGAGUGGCGCACGGGUGCGCAACGCGUAUAGAACCUACCCUGUACAGGGGGAUAGCCCGGAGAAAUCCGGAUUAAUACCCCGUGGUAAUUAGAAUUGGCAUCGAUUUUAAUUUAAAGCUUCGGCGGUACGGGAUGGCUAUGCGUCCUAUUAGCUAGAUAGUAAGGUAACGGCUUACCAUGGCUAUGAUAGGUAGGGGCCCUGAGAGGGGGAUCCCCCACACUGGUACUGAGACACGGACCAGACUCCUACGGGAGGCAGCAGUGAGGAAUAUUGGACAAUGGGCUCACGCCUGAUCCAGCCAUGCCGCGUGCAGGAAGACAGCCCUAUGGGUUGUAAACUGCUUUUAUACGGGAAGAAUAAUCACGACGUGUCGUGAGAUGACGGUACCGUAAGAAUAAGGACCGGCUAACUCCGUGCCAGCAGCCGCGGUAAUACGGAGGGUCCGAGCGUUAUCGGAAUCAUUGGGUUUAAAGGGUCCGCAGGCGGGCAUUAAGUCAGGGGUGAAAUGGUACGCUCACGUAGCCACUGCCCUUGAUAACUGGUUGUUCUUGAAUCAUAUGGGAGUGGCCGGAAAUAUUGUUAUUGUACGGUGAAUGCAUAAAAUUUACAUAGAACCCGGAUCGCGAGGCGGGUCCUACUAUCACUGAACCUUAUGACAAAGCGUGGGGGGAGCACAGAUAUAUAUACCUG
rnacentral:rRNA from 1 species